rnacentral:rRNA from 1 species
UACGUAGGGUGCAAGCGUUGUCCGGAAUUAUUGGGCGUAAAGAGCUCGUAGGCGGUGUGUCGCGUCGGCCGUGAAAACCUGCAGCUUAACUGUGGGCUUGCGGUCGAUACGGGCAUCACUGGAGUUCGGCAGGGGAGACUGGAAUUCCUGGUGUAGCGGUGAAAUGCGCAGAUAUCAGGAGGAACACCGGUGGCGAAGGCGGGUCUCUGGGCCGAUACUGACGCUGAGGAGCGAAAGCGUGGGUAGCGAACAGG